CCCUAUUAAAUCGUCGAGUGUGAAAGAUAGCGUCGCAGUUGUUCUUUUCACCAUUACUUGUUUGCAAUACUUCUACUCAUCGCUUUUCCUUCACACAAAACACUACAACAUGGCCAAAGCACAAGAGAACAAGCUGGAACUGGCUGGUAUCCUGCUCUUCUUCAUUCUGUCUGCUGCUCUUUUCACCAGAGACAUUCGGUCCUUCCAACGAGACAUUCUGCCGUCCUACAUGGAGACGGAUAUGGCCAACAUGCUGGGCAUGGACAUUUCUGUUUUCCUUUUCAUCGAGCGGGCCAUUCUCUUUGUUACACCUCUUAUCAUUGCCCUGAGGCGAAAGGCCGACGAUGAUCAACCUCAGCAGGAGUUUGACGUUCCUGUCGAGCUGCUCAUGUAGGCCUCGACGACCCAUACUAACCGCUUGACUGCUUUUUCUCGACAGUCAUCCAACCACAUAGACAAAGAGAUUAUGAACAGAGUA
rnacentral:misc_RNA from 1 species